AACGAACGCUGGCGGCGUGCCUAACACAUGCAAGUCGGGGGAGAAAAGGGGCUUCGGUUCCUGAGUAAACCGGCGCACGGGUGAGUAACACGUAGGUAACGUACCUUCGAAUCCGGGAUAACCAGUCGAAAGAUUGGCUAAUACCGGAUACGACCGCGAGGACCUCGGUUCUCGCGGUGAAAGAUGGCCUCUGCUUGCAAGCUAUCAUUCGAAGAGCGGCCUGCGCACCAUUAGCNCGUUGGUGGGGUAACGGCCUACCAAGGCUGAGAUGGUUAGCUGGUCUGAGGAGGAUGGCCAGCCACACUGGGACUGAGACACGGCCCAGACUCCUACGGGAGGCAGCAGUGGGGAAUACUGCGCAAUGGGCGAAAGCCUGACGCAGCGACGCCGCGUGGGUGA
rnacentral:rRNA from 1 species